CCACCCCUUGGGCUGCUCUCAGAGCUGACAUAUGACACAACUCAGGAACACACUAGUGACUUAGUGUGCACCCUGAAGAAACCACAGGCUUUGUCAAGCAGGGUGACGGGACAUCCUGGACUUUCCAGCAUCAGUCUGUUGAAAUCACCCUAUAACCAGGAAGCCCUCCCGGUGGUUUCUACCUACAUCUCAUUGGUCAUCUGUGUCUACCAGAGGGCAGAAAUCGAGCCUGUAGCUUUUACAGCUUCUAUGAUAGAGCUUAGAGAUGGGAGAGAUGAAAGCUGAAAACUGCCAAUCAAGUAUUUCAGACUUAGGAAUAAAUUUUGAUGAAAAGCUGCAUAGUCUACAAAUGCAUAAAACCAGAAGGAAGUGAUGGCUCACGCACCUUCUGAUGGACAAAGACAGGCUUCCCACAAGGAAACUCCUGCAG